rnacentral:rRNA from 1 species
GGAAACGUUUGCCUAAUACCUUAUACUCCUAUUAACAGAAGUUAAUAAGGGAAAGAUUUAUUGGUAAGAGAUUAGCCCUGUAUUGUAUCAGUUAGUUGGUGGGGUAAUGGCUUACCAAGACUAUGACACAUAACUGGUUUGAGAGGAUGAUCAGUCACACUGGAACUGAGACACGGUCCAGACUCCUACGGGAGGCAGCAGUGGGGAAUAUUGCACAAUGGACGAAAGUCUGAUGCAGCAACGCCGCGUGGAGGAUGACACAUUUCGGUGCGUAAACUCCUUUUAUAUGAGAAGAUAAUGACGGUAUUAUAUGAAUAAGCACCGGCUAACUCCGUG